rnacentral:rRNA from 1 species
UCAAGAAUAUUCCUCAAUGGCCGAAAGGCUGAAGGAGCGACGCCGCGUGUAGGAUGAAGGUCUUCGGAUCGUAAACUACUUUUAUAGGGGACGAAUUCGUGACGGUACCCUAAGAAUAAGAGGUUGCUAACUCUGUGCCAGCAGCAGCGGUAAUACAGAGACCUCAAGCGUUAUCCGGAUUUAUUGGGCGUAAAGCGUCCGCAGGUGGCUUAGCGGGUUAGGGGUUAAAACCAAUCGCUUAACGAUUGGACUGCUUCUAAAACUACUAAGCUAGAGAGUGGGAGAGGUAAGCGGAAUUCUCGGUGUAGUCGUAAUAAGCGUUGAUAUCGAGAAGAACACCAAAUGCGAAGGCAGCUUACUGGAACACUUCUGACACUAAGGGACGAAAGCGUGGGGAGCAAACAGG